rfam:Nematostella vectensis strain CH2 x CH6 NEMVEscaffold_326_Cont23907, whole genome shotgun sequence.
GGGGGAUUAGCUCAAAUGGUAGAGCGCUUGCUCAGCAUGGGGGAGGUACCGGGAUCGAUACCCGGAUUCUCCA